rnacentral:rRNA from 1 species
GGUUGAUCCUGCCCGGACCCCACUGCUAUCGAGGUGGGACUUAGCCAUGCUAGUCGAACGAACAGAACUAUGUCUGUAAGUGGCAUACUGCUCAGUAACACGUAGCUAACCUACCCUUAGGACGUCGAUAACCCCGAGAAAUUGGGGCUAAUAGGCGAUAGAUGUAUUGUCCUGGAAUGGUAAUACGUCCAAAGGUAUCCCAUACAUGUUUGGUAUACGCCUAAGGAUGGGGCUGCGGCCGAUCAGGCUGUUGGUGAGGUAAUGGCUCACCAAACCUUUGACCGGUAUGGGCCAUGAGAGUGGUAGCCCAGAGAUGGACACUGAGACAAGGGUCCAGGCCCUACGGGGCGCAGCAGGCGCGAAACCUCCUCAAUGCACUAACGUGCGAAGGGGUUACCUCGAGUGCCACCUGAAGAAGGUGGCUUUUCCUUGGUCUAAAAAGCCUAGGGAAUAAGAGGGGGGCAAGACUGGUGUCAGCCGCCGCGGUAACACCAGCCCCUCGAGUGGUGGGGAUGAUUAUUUGGCCUAAAGCGUCCGUAGCCGGCCGGGUAAGUUUCCCGUUAAAUCCAGCGUCUCAAGCGUUGGACUGCGGGAAAUACUGCCUGGCUAGAGAGUGGGAGAGGUCAGCGGUAUUCUGGGGGUAGGGGCGAAAUCCUUUGAUCCCCGGAGGACCACCAGUGGCGAAGGCUGCUGACUAGAACACGUCUGACGGUCAGGGACGAAAGCUGGGGUAGCGAACCGGAUUAGAUACCCGGGUAGUCCCAGCCGUAAACGAUGCAUGCUAGGUGUUGGGUUGGCCACGAGCCACCCCAGUGCCGCAGGGAAGCCGUUAAGCAUGCCGCCUGGGAAGUACGAUCGCAAGGUUGAAACUUAAAGGAAUUGGCGGGGGAGCACCACCAGGCGUGAAGCCUGCGGUUUAAUUGGAUUCAACGCCGGA